UAGAUGCGAGAGUAGAGCAUAUCAAUAAGCGGAGGAAAAGAAACUAACAAGGAUUCCCUUAGUAACGGCGAGUGAAGCGGGAAGAGCUCAAAUUUGAAAUCUUCAAGGUUCUACCUUGACGAAUUGUAGUUUAAAGAAGUGUUUUCUGUUAGAUGAGUAGCAAAAGUUCCUUGGAAUGGGACAUCAUAGAGGGUGAGAAUCCCGUAUUUGGUUAUUCAUUCUAGCUUUGUGAUACACUUUCAAAGAGUCGGAUUGUUUGGGAAUGCAGUCCAAAAUGGGUGGUAAAUUUCAUCUAAAGCUAAAUAUUGGCGAGAGACCGAUAGCGAACAAGUACCGUGAGGGAAAGAUGAAAAGAACUUUGAAAAGAGAGUUAAACAGUACGUGAAAUUGUCAAAAGGGAAGCGUUUGACACCAGUGUUGUUUUUUCCGAAAAUCAAUUACGAAUGGCUUGAUUUUGUGUUGUAUUGACCUUAUCAGCUUUCUUCACUUUUUUCGAGUCUUUCUUAAUGCACUUUUCGGUUAACAAGUCAACAUCAAUUUCUUUUGUUGUAAAAGAGUAUUCGGAAGGUGGCUUUCUUUUCGGAGAAAGUGUUUAUAGCCCUAUACUUCUACAAUCGGAGAGAUUGAGGUCUGCAGCGUAGAUCCUUCGGGGUUAGAUACACUUGUGCUAAGUUGUAGCUUUUCAUAGACAACUUGUUGACUAUGUUUAGUCAUGCGGCUUACUCGCUUAGUGCUAUUUUACCUACGCUUAGGAUGUUGAGCGCAUGUCUCUCUCU
rnacentral:rRNA from 1 species